CACAAGCGGUGGAUUAUGUGGUUUAAUUCGAUGAUACGCGAGGAACCUUACCAAGGCUUAAAUGGGAAUYGACAGGUUUAGAAAUAGACUUUUCUUCGGACAAUUUUCAAGGUGCUGCAUGGUUGUCGUCAGCUCGUGCCGUGAGGUGUUAGGUUAAGUCCUGCAACGAGCGCAACCCCUGUCACUAGUUGCCAUCAUUCAGUUGGGGACUCUAGUGAGACUGCCUACGCAAGUAGAGAGCYWAGGUGGGGAUGACGUCAAAUCAUCACGGCCCUUACGCCUUGGGCCACACACGUAAUACAAUGGCCAGUACAGAGGGCAGCUACCARGCGAYWGGAUGCGAAUCUCGAAAGCUGGUCUCAGUUCGGAUUGGAGUCUGCAACUCGACUCUAUGAAGCUGGAAUCGCUAGUAAUCGCAUAUCAGCCAUGAUGCGGUGAAUACGUUCCCGGGCCUUGUACACACCGCCCGUCAAGCCAUGGAAGUUUGGGGUACCUGAAGUCGGUGA
rnacentral:rRNA from 1 species